rnacentral:rRNA from 1 species
CAUGCAAGUUGAACGGCAGCACGGGUGCUUUGACCUGGUGGCGAGUGGCGAACGGGUGUGGAAUACAUCGCAACAUGUCCUGGAGUGGGUGAUAGCCCGGCGAAAGCCGGAUUAAUACCGCAUACGAUCUACGGAUGAAAGCGGGGGAUCUUCGGACCUCGCGCUAUAGGAGCGGCCGAUGGCGGAUUAGCUAGUUGGUGAGGUAAAGGCUGACCAAGGCGACGAUCCGUAGCUGGUCUGAGAGGACGACCAGCCACACUGGGACUGAGACACGGCCCAGACUCCUACGGGAGGCAGCAGUGGGGAAUUUUGGACAAUGGGCGAAAGCCUGAUCCAGCAAUGCCGCGUGUGUGAAGAAGGCCUUCGGGUUGUAAAGCACUUUUGUCCGGAAAGAAAUCCCUGGUUCUAAUAUUGCCGGGGGAUGACGGUACCGGAAGAAUAAGCACCGGCUAACUACGUGCCAGCAGCCGCGGUAAU